GGAUUGUGGCUUAGUGUUAGAGCACUUGCCUAGCAUGUGCGAGGCACUGGGUUCGAAUUUCAGCACCA
rnacentral:tRNA from 1 species